UAGAGAAAAAAAAUGAAACCCAACCUUGCGUACUGCAUACUGCGUGCAUAUAAAAAGAAAAAGAAGAAGGGUGUGGCCCAUGUUCGCAUGUAGAUUGAGGCAGAGACGAACAUGGAAACUAAAUCGCUCUUGUGAUUGUUUCCCUGUUUGUUCGGAUCACGGGAUGGAUCAGAUCCUAACCUUGACUCCGAUCGUUCCUUGACUUCCGUUCCUUCCUUCUUUUUUUUACAUAUUCGGGUGUUCGUCGUCUUCGAUGGUUCGACCCUGGUUCGACAAGUCUCCUGGUCUUCUCGAGUUCUCAUCCUCAGUCCUGACGGUUUACGAACGGCGGCGGCGCGACACUAUGAGAGGACAGGUACGAGCACGUCUCCUCGCGCAGUCGCGCCUGGUGUCCUAUGCUUGCUAUUCUGUGUGUUUCUUUGCUAAUCCUAAAUUCUCGAAUCUCAAUUGAUCAAAUAGGAAAAGGAAUUUUCUCCUACUCGUAUUGUCAGCGCUCGUGCUCGGAUCAUUGCGUAGAGGGCACAGAAUAAAACUAUUGCCACAUUAAAUUAGAGAGAAGGUACUAUAUUAUGCCCUAGAUUUUCUGUAAUUGAUCUUCCUAUCUACAUAGCAUUGCACUAAUUUUAAAAGCUAAUUGUUCCUUUUAAAAAUAAGGAGAUACAUGAGCUGAAAGGAUCAUUGAGAGCAUCCCUUGGUAAAUAUUUUAAGAAAGAUACAAGCACAUUGAUUUUGGAUGGAUUUGACUGUCUACUUUGAUGCAAUUUUAUAUCUGCAUAUGUUAAUUACUACAUAAACAUUCAUACUAAGGGCCCCUAAAGGCGUUGGAUUAGUGUUUCGCUCCGGACCCCCGAAAUCUCGGGACCGGCCCUGACUAAACCUAUGGAGAAUGUUUAUCCAUGGCUGCCCUUGUCGUCUUUGUUGAGGAAGUAGCGGCCAAAAGACGCUAAACAGAUCGAGUCGGGUUUCCUCACUGUCGGAGUUGUCUGACCCGCCACUGGUUUCCUCCUCCUCCUCUUUGGGGGACAGUCCGGCCAUGGCAUGAACCAACCGGUUUUGCUCCCUCGCGAGGGCUUGUGUUGUCCUUCUUUGCCACUUCUCGAGGAUAAGCCAUAGAUGACAUCCUCGUCCAAGGUGGCGUGCGGCUCACCCCCGCGAACUCGACAACCAUUGCCCUAUGCCUUGCACGAUGGGCACGACGCGCCUCCACAACGAACAUGUUGUGAGGCAUGCCAAUGUAGACCUCUGACUCGGAGCGCGACACCGCAGGGACGAGGCACCACCACCCUGGGGUUGCGGCGCCAGGAGGUUGUCAUUGCCUCUGGCGAGGCCACAAUCACGUGCCUCGAGCCACUAGCCCUGGUUGAUCCAAGCGCCAUUUGGUUGACGCAAUGGAUUUCCACCGGAUCGAGUUCGACCGCGGUUGAACGCACUCCUCCCGAGAGCGGCGAAGAGCCAUGCAGACGACCAUCUCCUCCUCAUCCCCGCAUGGGAUGAGGUCCCAAUCGACGGAUCAGGACAUCUUGAAGUCGGGUCCACUUGGGGGCGUACUAGAGUGGAAUGUCUAGGGUUUCGUCCGGAAUGCAGAUAACGAUGAAUAUAUGUGAUGUCGGGUGGGCCAGCGUGAGCCUGAUCCGACGUGGCGGACGUGCUCGGACGCGUCCAGGUCUCCCUAUAUCCACCACACCGACUUUCUAUAGUUGGUUGUUAUUCCACUUUUGACAAAAAAACUCGUAGGUAGUAACAAUUGAACCCAAACGAUAAAUGUCACACAUGUGACAUGAAGCGACAUGGUUCAAACGCACCCAUCAUCAUGCAUUUUGCAAGAUCGAACAUAUGACAUGAACAAUUUCUUUUGUUUUUUCGAACUUGAAAUAUUUUAUCUUUGAAAUAAAAAAUUCGAUUAAAAAUCUGUUUUCAUCAUUAAAUCUGCCUCGACGAGAUCUUCAAAACUAGAUCUCAUAUUGAUAUGUUUUGAUGAAUUUUUUGGCUAAAAAUUACCACGAUGUUUACAAUGAAGUUGCCAAAGUGUUUAUACUAAAGUUGCCAUGAUAUGUUUCAUCUAUUUUUACUCUUCUAGAUUUAAAGCUACAAGUAUAUUUCAACUAUUUUUCAAGACAAAUGAAAGCACAAUUGCUCCCUAGGGUGGUUUUGAUAAUUGAUCACAACAUAUGCAUCAUUGGACUAAUAUGUUUUUUCAAGUAUAUUUCAGAAAAGUUCAAAAGAUGCUUUGGCUAAAGGCAUAUGUGGAGAUGUCCCUUGAUGCAAGAAAGGAAUAAGAUUGGCUCAAGCUUAAAGCUAGAAGACUCUUUAUUUUGUAUUUGUGAGAAAUCACUUUUGAGUCCAUAGUAGGAAAGCCAAUACUAUUAAAAGGGGGUGAGGUAUUUGUUGGAAAUAUGCCCUAGAGGCAAUAAUAAAUUGGUUAUUAUUAUAUUUCCUUGUUCAUGAUAAUCGUUUAUUAUCCA
rnacentral:lncRNA from 1 species